GACAAUAAAUCUAGGGCAGAAGAGGGGGCUCAGCAGUUAAGAAUGCUAACCAUUCUAAUAGAGGACCAGAGUUCAGAUUCCAGCACCGACACCAGGUGGCUCAUAAACACCUCUAACUCCAGCUCCAAAGGAAUCACUACCCCUCUGGCCUUCAGGAACACUUGCACACACAUGUGUGCAUACACACAGGGUCACAAUACAUCUUUAAAUAAAGAAAGAAAUCUAUAUAAAUGAAAAUAUUAAAGUAUAUACUUUUAUUCUAUAGUAAAAAGGAUCUUUCUGCUUUCCAAAUCCCUGUAGUCUAUGUAUAUUACUUAAGUAAUUAAAAAAACAAUAAAAAUUAUUCAGAAAGAGAUCAAAUGCAACGGAUGUGCAGAAUUCAGAUGAAAUGAUCAUGUUUUAAAGUCCUAACAACACGAUCCCCAUGGUCCACAAUCCUGAGAGGCUAAGUCACGAUCAACAUCACAUGCCAUAGAGAAGUCAAGCAUUACCAUAAAAACAUCCCAUAGUAUUAAAUGUUCUUGUGAAUGUGUUGCACCAUCUGCUUUCUGGGAGUAAUCAAAAGCCAAUUGCACCUCCAGAGUCAGACCUGGAUCUUACCUAAACAACAGCUGACCCACAUAUGUCAAAUCACCAGACAGCCCACCCACCAUGUAAAGCAAUGGGCUGAGCAAGGUGGUGAGUGGGGGCGGGGGUCACAAGAGUUCUGAGUACAGACGGGACAGGACAGGACCGGGCCAGGUGACAUUCCUCUAGCCACUGAGUCAGAGGUUUCAAGGAGGAAAUGGAACCUUGGGGGCUAGAGAAAUAAAGGAAGGAGAUAAGCAUCCCAUCUCGAUACUCAUUUGUGGAGAAUGUAACUGGGGGCCAGUAAGACAAGAGCUACCCCUGAACCAAGAGCUUCAGCAAAUCACUUCCCAACCUUGCAAAACAAUUACAACUUCCAAGUACCCCGAAUCUGGAAAGAGCACCCAAAUCCUAACCACUGGAUACCAGGGAUGCUAGUACACAGCAUCUGGAGCCCACUUGCAAAUAAAUAAGACCCCACAUACCCUGCAUCUGGAUUUCAGAUGGAUGAGACUAGCGUUGGACGGAAGCCUGUGUGUACCAGAGAACAGGCAUAGGAUGGAUCCGGAAACCAUGUCGCACAUGCCAACGUGCCUCCUUUGGCUUGGCCUCCUCUAAUACCUGUCAUUUUAGCCAAACCAUGGGGACAGCCCAAGGCUCAGGCUGUUCUGUGUCUCCAUGAAAGGUGACAGGGAUGACAACAUCCAGACAUUUCCAUUCGUGCCUGUCAGCAUCUGCGUCUGAAGCUCCAGGCUAGCAAAAGCAGAGGACACACAUUUUCUAUCAGGAGAAUGGAUUGUGUCUUUGAAGAAGGCGGCUGAUGGUUGGUCAAAGCAAAGGAAGUGAACAGCCCUUGCAUCUUUCUCCAUCUGGGCAGAGAGCCUGGGUGUGUCCACCUGGCAGCUAGAGAGUUCCAAGAGUUCCAAGGAAUGGAAGGGCAUAAGGUCUCUUGAGACCGAUUUUCAAGAGGAAAUGGCCCAGUGUAUGGUGGGUGCUUACAAGACAUUCUCUGAAGAAACGUAAAGCCACAGGAAAUAGGCUAUAUCCACAGUCUCCACAGCCUAUGAGUCAACAUGGAGUCCUCAGUGUGUAACCCCUGAAGAAUCUGAGAUGUUUGAAACAUCAUUAAAUUCAAGGUUUGUCCCUCAUCCACUUCUGGCAGUACAAUAUGGGAUGGUGGAUUACCCCCUUCCUGUGCUGGAGAUGCACACAGAGUCUCACAAAUACCAGACAAAUACUCUAUCACUGAGCUGUAUCACCCCUGUGGAGAUUUAUAAUCAUCUAGUCUAAAAACAAAAGAAGAUGGCUAUACCGUGGCACGCAUGUGGAGCUCAGAGGACAACUUUCAGGGGCUGUUUCCCUCCUCCAACCAUGGGUCCUGGGGACCGGUCUCAGGUCACCCAGGCUGGGUGGCAGGCACCUUUCCCCACUCGUCAUUUCUCAAGCCUGAGGAAAAUAUUUUUAAAAUAUGAAAGCUAUUUAUUCUGUUUGUGACUUCUGCAUCUUGUUCUCUUGGAAAGGCUUCAUAGGAUUUAAUGACAAAAAAUGUAUAAACUAUUCAUCCAUUUAUUAGUUUACUUGAGCACUCGUUCUGACAAAUAUCUGUUGAAUGUUACUGCUGAGGGAGAUUUGUUUGUGUUUUCACUCGGGAAUCGCCUGUGAAGUAAACCAUAGAGUUUUCUGGCCAACUCAGAAGAGACAGAAAGACACAGAGAAUAAGAAGGGGCUAAAAAGAUGUGUGGGCUUUUCAAGUGGAGAGGUGGAGAAGAGGGUGAAGUGGUCUUUACCUAUAGGUUUAUUCUAUCAUAUUUGACUUCCAAGCUUUAUUGAAUAAUAAAACAUUAAAAGAAGCCACAAUAUCUAGCAUUCAA